AGCGUCUCUUCUCACUUCCUACUUCAGUCCAUUUGAUGGAAUCUGCCUUGCCAUUAUAUCGUCUCCAUCUGUUUCUUCGGUUUUUCUUGGAAGAAGGUCUCUGUUGCAGGUGAAGGUGCACCUCACCCGGACAGUGAGUGACAGCUGAGGGGGCGGAGUCAGCAGAGUCCUGUGGCUGUAGAGACGACUGCCAGUGGCAGCCAUGCUCGUUGUUGUCCAGUUUGUGAUGAUGAUGAUGAUGAUGACGAGUGAAGCUGCCUCAGCAGAGGUCAUUACAGUCUCUCCUGGUGAAAGUGUCCUGAUGCCCUUGGGGACACAGCUUACCCACAGCAACAUCAGCAGGGACAUCAGGUGGACUCACCCCCAGCUGCUCUUGUCUCUGAAGUCCAACAAGACAACUUGUAACCAUGGACGCUGCAAGCUGCUGAGUGAUGGCUCGCUGAGUUUCAGUCGAGUCCAGGCCGAAGACGCAGGAAAAUACACAGUCCAGGUGUUUGACCAAAGUGGUAAACAAGAAACCCAGAAGGGUUUCCUGCUGAAGGUUGAAGAGAAAACACAGACACAUCUCGCCUGGCUUCUGUUCCUCCUCUUCCUGCUGCCGCUAUUCAUCAUCCUCUUCAUCCUGAGGAAGAGGACGAUGACUACAGAUCCAAUGGAGGAAAAUGUUUAUGUGUUCAUGCACAGUCACCGUAGCAACAAGGAGGAGCCUGCCUAUGGUACACGUACACACACACACACACACACACACACACACACACACACACACACACACACACGUACGUACACGUACACAAACACACACACACACACAUACACGUACACAAAUACACACACACACACUAACAAAAGUUAA
rnacentral:lncRNA from 1 species